GCGCCGGUGGUGUAAUGGCGUAGAGCAUUCCCGCCCGGUCAGAGGGAGGUGCGGGUUCGAGUCCCGCCUGGCGCG
rnacentral:tRNA from 1 species